ACAAUGGGUUUCGUGAUCAAAUAAGAAUAGAGCUCUUCAACGCUCAAUGUCAGUCAAUUAUAUCCCUAUGAACAAAUUAACCAUAAAUGUUUGCCUAGAACACCUAACAAAAAAGAGAGUGCGAAAAAAGCACUCCGUGUCAAAGACUAAAGAGCUAAACUUAACCACUGCGGCAAUCUUGUAUCCAUGAUCCUCUUCACUACAUCCCUUACAAAACAAUCAAAACAAGAUGCGCAAAAACCUUUCAUUAUACUUGUCUGUCCAGCAGCCACCCUCCCACCAUGGUUGCAAAUUGGUGGUGGGGGUACAAAUUGGACUUCACUCCUCUUGUGCUCAA
rnacentral:misc_RNA from 1 species